CAGAAAAUGGAACCCUCGCAAGAGACUUGUGUACCAUGAUUAAGUUUAGAAAGGUAAGCCAGUGACCCACAAUACAUCGUGUGCUGGGUGAAGAUGCUGAGGAUGUAAUCAAUGACUUUGCAGCAGCAAAGGCAAGAAAAGUUUUCCAUAUCUCUUUUGUCUCAGCUUGUCUUGACUCCUUAAUACAUCUACUUGAAUUGGACCCUUGGAAUUAAGUCUCUGCCUAAUCACAGGAUUUUGGCCUCAUCUACAUUCCCUGAGCCACAAGGACGCUGUUGAGAGAGUGCUUAAAGCAGAGAUGGGGAACCUGUCCAGAUGUUGCUAGAUUUCAACUGGUUGAUUUCAACUAUCAGCAAAGGAAGCCUUUAAAAAUGUCUGUCCUUCUCCAUAAAUCCAUAUUAUGGGUCUGACUUGCUCA